UACAGAGGGUGCAAGCGUUGUUCGGAGUUAUUGGGCGUAAAGCGCGUGUAGGCGGCAAGCCAAGUCGGGUGUGAAAGCCCUGGGCUCAACCCAGGAAGUGCAUUCGAUACUGGCAAGCUAGAGUCCCGGAGAGGAUGGUGGAACUCUCGGUGUAGAGGUGAAAUUCGUAGAUAUCGAGAAGAACACCGGUGGCGAAGGCGGCCAUCUGGACGGUGACUGACGCUGAGACGCGAAAGCGUGGGGAGCAAACAGG
rnacentral:rRNA from 1 species